AGAAUCAACGCUGGCGGCGUGCCUAACACAUGCAAGUCGAACGAGUAAAGUGGAGCAAUCCAUGAGUAAAGUGGCGCACGGGUGAGUAACACGUGACUAACCUACCCUUGAGUGGGGAAUAACUUCGGGAACCGAGGCUAAUACCGCAUAACACCUACGGGUCAAAGGAGCAAUUCGCUUAAGGAGGGGUCGCGGCAGAUUAGUUAGUUGGCGGGGUAAUGGCCCACCAAGACAGUGAUCUGUA
rnacentral:rRNA from 1 species